rnacentral:rRNA from 1 species
UACGGGAGGCAGCAGUGGGGAAUAUUGACAUCAUAUGGCCGAAAUCCUAAUUCCUGCACCACCGCCGUGACGUGAAGAAGGGUUUUCUGCCUCGUAAUACUCUGCUUCAUGUGAAGAAGCAACAAUCAGUAUUAACUGCCUCCUGAGCGUA